UACGUAGGGUGCGAGCGUUGCCCGGAAUUACUGGGCGUAAAGCGCACGUAGGCGGACAUUUAAGUCAGGGGUGAAAUCCCAGAGCUCAACUCUGGAACUGCCUUUGAUACUGGGUGUCUUGAGUAUGGAAGAGGUGAGUGGAAUUCCGAGUGUAGAGGUGAAAUUCGUAGAUAUUCGGAGGAACACCAGUGGCGAAGGCGGCUCACUGGUCCAUUACUGACGCUGAGGUGCGAAAGCGUGGGGAGCAAACAGG
rnacentral:rRNA from 1 species